rnacentral:rRNA from 1 species
CCUGAGAAACCCAAAAGAUCGAAUGGGGAGAUUCAUCGUCAGCGAUCCCGGCACGACCGCGGCUCGUGAUGCCGUGAGACCUCGCGGUCUCGUGGUACGCGUCCGCCUUCGUUUCAGCCGGGCGUCGUCGGCGUGCACUUCUCCCCUAGUAGGACGUCGCGACCCGUUGGGUGUCGGUCUACGGCCCGGGUGGGCGCCUGUCAUGCGUACGACGCUUCGCGGCGUCACGUGGCUGACAGACCCCCGGUUGUCUGACCAGCUGCCCGGCGGUACUCGCACGGUAUCGAGCCGCAAAAUUGAACUGCGUCCGGCCCCCCGCAAGCGAGGCCAGUGUUUCCCGGAUGUACGGACCUAGCGCCGUCCCCGGGCCUGGUCGGCUGUUGGCUGGGGGUGUCCUUGGACUGGCUCUCUAAUACAAUGAAUACCGGUCGGCGACGCUACUGCUUUGGGUACUUUCAGGACCCGUCUUGAAACACGGA